UGUGGUAAACAGGAUAGAAAAUGUCUCUGCUCUAGUGGAUCUUAAUUCAAAUUAGGGCAGGAGAUGAUGGUAACUUUGAUGUGAGCAUUGGAGGCAGAAGAGAGGAGAAUGGAUGCAGGAUGCAUUUUGGAGGGAGAUCUGAUGAAAUUUGUGAUGGAUUAGAUGUGGGUGAUAAGAGAAAGCUAUGGAAAGAAUGAAAUCAAGGAUGAGCAAGUAGGUGAGUAAUGGUAAUAUUUACUGAGAUGAGGAAGACUCCAUUUCUCCCAGCAGCCCUUUAAGUUGGGUUCACCUAUCCCACCCUAUUCCUGUAUCUAUUUUAUUCUAUAUCUAUACAUCUAACCUUUAUCUAUAUUG
rnacentral:lncRNA from 1 species